rnacentral:piRNA from 1 species
GUGGUGGCGGCGGCGGCGGAGGCGGAC